rnacentral:rRNA from 1 species
CGCGUCCCCCCCCCCCCAC